rnacentral:rRNA from 1 species
CGGUUGAUCCUGCCGGAGGUCACUGCUAUUGGGAUUCGACUAAGCCAUGCGAGUCGAGAGGGUUCGGCCCUCGGCUGACGGCUCAGUAACACGUGGAUAAUCUGCCCUUAGGUGGAGGAUAAUCUCGGGAAACUGAGGAUAAUACUCCAUAGAUCUAGGAUGCUGGAAUGCAUCUAGAUUGAAAGCUCCGGCGCCUAAGGAUGAGUCUGCGGACUAUCAGGUUGUAGUCAGGGUAAAGACCUGACUAGCCUACGACGGAUACGGGUUGUGAGAGCAAUAACCCGGAGACGAUAUCUGAGACACGAUAUCGGGCCCUACGGGGCGCAGCAGGCGCGAAAACUUCACACUGUGCGAAAGCGCGAUGAGGGAAUCCCAAGUGUUUGCUCGUAAGAGUAAACUGUUUCUUUGUUUAAAACGCAGAGAGAGUAAGGGCUGGGUAAGACGGGUGCCAGCCGCCGCGGUAAUACCUGCAGCUCGAGUGGUGAUCAUUAUUAUUGGGCCUAAAACGUCCGUAGCCGGUUUAGUAAAUGCCUGGGUAAAUCGUGUAGCUUAACUAUACGACUUCCGGGUAGACUGCUAAACUUGAGACCGGGAGAGGCUAGAGGUACUCCUGGGGUAGAGGUGAAAUUCUGUAAUCCUAGGGGGACCACCAGUGGCGAAGGCGUCUAGCUAGAACGGGUCUGACGGUGAGGGACGAAGCCCUGGGGCACAAACCGGAUUAGAUACCCGGGUAGUCCAGGGUGUAAACGCUGCUUGCUUGAUGUUAGUUGGGCUCCGAGCCCAACUAGUGUCGGAGAGAAGUUGUUAAGCAAGCUGCCUGGGAAGUACGGUCGCAAGGCUGAAACUUAAAGGAAUUGGCGGGGGAGCAC